GUGCUCGCGUCAGCAGCACAUGUAGUGAAAUUGGAACGAUACAGAGAUCAGCGUGGUCUCUGCACAAGGGCGGCACACAGAUUCCUGAAGCAUUCCAUAUUUUU